rnacentral:tRNA from 1 species
GUGGGUGUAGCUCAGUUGGCAGAGCACUGGGUUGUGGUCCCAGGUGUCAUGGGUUCGAGUCCCAUCACUCACC